UACGUAGGGGGCAAGCGUUGUCCGGAAUUAUUGGGCGUAAAGGGCGCGUAGGCGGCCUGGCAAGUGACGGGUGAAAGCCCUCGGCUCAACCGAGGAACUGCCUGUCAUACUGCCGGGCUUGAGUCCGGGAGAGGUGAGUGGAAUUCCCAGUGUAGCGGUGAAAUGCGUAGAUAUUGGGAGGAACACCAGUGGCGAAGGCGGCUCACUGGACCGGAACUGACGCUGAGGCGCGAAAGCGUGGGGAGCAAACGGG
rnacentral:rRNA from 1 species